rnacentral:rRNA from 1 species
UACGGAGGGGGCUAGCGUUGUUCGGAAUUACUGGGCGUAAAGCGCACGUAGGCGGUUACUCAAGUCAGAGGUGAAAGCCCGGAGCUCAACUCCGGAAUUGCCUUUGAAACUAGGUGACUUGAAUCAUGGAGAGGUCAGUGGAAUUCCGAGUGUAGAGGUGAAAUUCGUAGAUAUUAGGAAGAACACCGGUGGCGAAGGCGGCCAUCUGGCUCGGUACUGACGCUCAGGCGCGAAAGCGUGGGGAGCAAACAGG